UAAGGAAUAUUGGUCAAUGGACGCAAGUCUGAACCAGCCAUGCCGCGUGGAGGAUGAAGGUCCUCUGGAUUGUAAACUUCUUUUAUCUGGGACGAAAAAAGGUUUUUCUAGACCGACUGACGGUACCAGAUGAAUAAGCACCGGCUAACUCCGUGCCAGCAGCCGCGGUAAUACGGAGGGUGCAAGCGUUAUCCGGAUUCACUGGGUUUAAAGGGUGCGUAGGUGGAUUGGUAAGUCCGUGGUGAAAUCUCUGAGCUUAACUCAGAAACUGCCAUGGAUACUAUCAGUCUUGAAUACCGUGGAGGUCAGCGGAAUAUGUCAUGUAGCGGUGAAAUGCUUAGAUAUGACAUAGAACACCAAUUGCGAAGGCAGCUGGCUACACGAGCAUUGACACUCAGGCACGAAAGCGUGGGGAUCAAACAGG
rnacentral:rRNA from 1 species